rnacentral:rRNA from 1 species
AGUGAACGCUGGCGGUAGGCCUAACACAUGCAAGUCGAACGGCAGCACAGUAAGAGCUUGCUCUUACGGGUGGCGAGUGGCGGACGGGUGAGGAAUACAUCGGAAUCUACUUUUUCGUGGGGGAUAACGUAGGGAAACUUACGCUAAUACCGCAUACGACCUACGGGUGAAAGCAGGGGAUCUUCGGACCUUGCGCGAUUGAAUGAGCCGCUGUCGGAUUAGCUAGUUGGCGGGGUAAAGGCCCACCAAGGCGACGAUCCGUAGCUGGUCUGAGAGGGUGGUCAGCCACACUGGAACGGAGACACGGUCCAGACUCCUGCGGGAGGCAGCAGUGGGGAAUAUUGGACAAUGGGCGCAAGCCUGAUCCAGCCAUACCGCGUGGGUGAAGAAGGCCUUCGGGUUGUAAAGCCCUUUUGUUGGGAGAGAAAAGCAGCAGGUUAAUACCCCGCUGUUCUGACGGUACCCAAAGAAUAAGCACCGGCUAACUUCGUG